UACACAGUUACUUUUCUCCUCAUCUUUCCACUAUUCUAUUUUCUUGCUCAAAGUUGGAGCCAACCUCUUUAUACAUUAAGCAUAUUUUAUAUUCAACUAUAUAAUAAUAUGAAGUUUUGUGGUAUUUUGGAAUAAUCCUCUUAAUAUAAACAAUUUGAUUUUACAUAUCUUUCUAAAUAAACCUAUUAGAUAAAUACUAUUAAUAUGGAUAUGUUUGGUUGUACUGACAAAUAAUAAUUAAAAAAAAACAUUAGGAAAAGAAAACAAAAAAGCUAAAUAAGAGUAUGCCAUAUUUUGAUGGCCCCUUCGAACCUAACUUUGCAUUUUAUUUUCUAACUAUCUUUAAGAAAUACAUUAUACAUAUUCCUGUAGUUAAUACUUGAUAUGUAAACCGGGACGUCAUACUUAAGCAAUACACUUAGUUCUAAAAUUUAUAUUAAAAUGGUGUGAAAUGUAUAAAAUUAAUAACAAUAUAUACAGUUUUUGGCAAAUAAAGAUCAUCAAUACAUGGUGAAUAAUUAAAGAAAGGACGUUCUGAAUGAUAUUAUCUGUAUUUUCUCCUAUAGAUACCACAAAAUAUUUAUACAGCUCUUAAAAUAUUUCAAAAAAAAAUCCUUAAUAUGGUAUCUAGAAAAUAAUUUCUAAAAAGUGUGCUUGUUUUAGAACAUAUGUAGUUAUGUGACUCUAAUUGGUGGUCAUAAAAAUAAAAAUAAGAAUAAAUAGGAAAAAUAAUAAAAAUGAAAAAAUAAUAGGAAUGGAAAGGAAUAUAUGUUACUUAUGGUUCCUUCUCAAAUUUGUUAAGGAAUGUUUCUGUUAU
rnacentral:lncRNA from 1 species